GUGAGGAAUUUUGCGCAAUGGCCGCAAGGCUGACGCAGCAACGCCGCGUGGGUGAUGAAGGCCUUCGGGUCGUAAAGCCCUGUCAGGUGGGAAGAAAGGCCUGGAGAGGAAAGGUUUCAGGUUUGACGGUACCACCAGAGGAAGCACCGGCUAACUCCGUGCCAGCAGCCGCGGUAAUACGGAGGGUGCGAGCGUUAUUCGGAAUUACUGGGCGUAAAGCGCGUGUAGGCGGGGGGACAAGUCUGAUGUGAAAGCCCUGGGCUUAACCUGGGAAGCGCAUUGGAAACUGUUUGUCUUGAGUACUGGAGAGGAAGGGGGAAUUCCCGGUGUAGAGGUGAAAUUCGUAGAGAUCGGGAGGAAUACCAGUGGCGUAGGCGCCCUUCUGGACGGUAACUGACGCUGAGACGCGAAAGCGUGGGGAGCAAACAGGAUUAGAUACCCUGGUAGUCC
rnacentral:rRNA from 1 species